UUUUGGACAAUGGGCGCAAGCCUGAUCCAGCCAUGCCGCGUGUGUGAAGAAGGCCUUCGGGUUGUAAAGCACUUUCGGACGGAACGAAAUCGUUCCCGUUAACAGCGGGGAUGGAUGACGGUACCGUAAGAAGAAGCACCGGCUAACUACGUGCCAGCAGCCGCGGUAAUACGUAGGGUGCAAGCGUUAAUCGGAAUUACUGGGCGUAAAGUGUGCGCAUGUGGCCUCGCAUGUCGAGUGUGAAAUCCCCGGGUUUAACUUGGGAAUUGCGCUCGAAACUACGGGGCUUGAGUGUGGCAGAGGGAGGUGGAAUUCCACGUGUAGCGGUGAAAUGCGUAGAGAUGUGGAGGAACACCAAUGGCGAAGGCAGCCUCCUGGGCCAACACUGACGCUCAUGCACGAAAGCGUGGGGAGCAAACAGG
rnacentral:rRNA from 1 species